GUUCCCAGGGCCACACACAGCUGCCUGCUUCUUUGUACUCUUGACCCCCCACCCCCAACCACACACACACACACACACACAGUGGCCUCCCUCUUCCCUGAACAAAGUUUCUUUCCCCUCCUGAUUCUAUCAUAGGUCUGUGCUUUUUCCUUCCAGCACAACAAGGUCUGAAAUUGUAUUAUUUGUUUAUUUACUUGUCUAUUGUUUGCUUCACCUUAUUAGAAUGCACACUGUUGUUUUCAGGGGUGUACCUGCAUCCCCUAGAACAGUGCCCUGUCCCAUAGAGCGUUUGUUACACAAAUGAAUUCCUAACAAGAAAAAUGGCUGCAGCUUCCAGAAACUCCAUCUGGAAUUCACAGUAAGUUGAUAAUGACUUUAAAUGAUCACUUCUCUAUUGUCUUACAGCUGGUCUCUCCCUCCUCGCUGUCCCCCUCCUUUCCCUGUGAUCUUCCUUCUUCCCGUGCCCCCUCUCCUUUGCCCCUCCCUCUUUCUUCUCUUCUUCCCUUCCUGUGUGCUUUCUGGGAAGCAGCUAACCCAGCAGGCAGACGGGGAGAGGAAGAGACCUGCCUCCUUUCCCCACCACAGACAUCAUCAUGAUUAAGAAAAGUCUUUUCACUCCAUCAUGGACAGACUAGUAGAAAUGGAGUCCACUCAAGGCACCCCAGGACAGGCCUGGGACUCUGUACAGUCUGAUGCUCCAAAUGAGCCUGUCGCUUCUGAGAUUCAUCAUUACUGUAGCUUGGAGUGGUCAUGGGUGAGUUUCAGGCCUGGUACUGAAGAUGGACAGUUAAACUCACAGCAGACCUAAAAUAAAACCAACAAACCCAAAUAGAUUAACCCCUUUUACUUUAAUAGGACAAAUGAAAUUUAUUUUUUGGUAUUGGAGAUUUAAACUAGGGAUGCUUAACCACUGAGCCCCAUCCCCAGUUUUUUUUUUUUUUUUUUUUUUUAAUUUUUAUUUUGAGACAGGGUGUCACUAGGUGGCUUAGAGCCUCACUAAGUUGUCAAGUCUGAUUUCACAACCUGUGAUCCUCCUGCCUCAGCUUCCUGAGUUGCUGGGAUUACAGAUGUGUGCCACCACCCCCAGCUGUAUUUAGAAAUGUUUAAUGCUUCUCUGAUUCUUAGGAGAGGCUUCUGAAAUAAGCGAGAAUGCCGCUUCCCAAAUCUUGCUGAACGAUAAUGUUCUAAGGAGACCAGCACUUGAAACCAAAAAGUGACUUCUCUUUUGUCCUAAUCUUAAAUCCCAUCAUCUUGUCUGAAACUGCUGCAUGCUGGUAAUGAGUGUUGAGAGGCAAUCUGAGGACGGUAAUUAGGCAUUAAACCUGGACAGGUACCAACCCAGAGGUGUGUGGCCCCUUCAUUCAGCACCACAAAAGUGGAUCUCUCCCAGCAAGCUUAUCUGGCCCUUGGUAGGGGGACUGAGCUGCACUGUGGCAAAGUGAGAUGUAAUUUUAAUGAUUCCAAGCACAUGGUUUCUGCCUCCAGCAGACUAGAUUUGUAGACUGGCAUUUUUUUUUUUUCCCUUGGGUAGAUUCCAGAUGUUGUAUAACUUGUGCAUUUCUAAGCUACAGAAUGGUAGACAGGGGCUUGUCUUUUAGUUAUGAGCAUGGACAAUGUGGGUAGUGGUUGAGCACUGACUGUCAAACGGCUUCCUGAAAGAUGAAUCUGUGUGGAAUAAAUUAUUGGAAAAGGAGGCUGAGGUUUCAGUAAUUCUGAAGUAAUUAGGAGUUAUGGAUCAGGGCUCUGGAUUUCUGGGUAAUCCUUACCCCAAACACCACCCCCAUCCCCACAUCACACAGAUGCAUGUGUUUACCAGUAUAUGCACACAUGCACAUACACACACACACACACGCACACAUAUUGGACUCCUUUUUAAUUUUAUUCUCUUAGGUCCAUGCAAUAAGGCCUUUUUAUAAAUAUAGUUUCUUGUGCCUCUAUUUGAGACCUAUCAAAAUAUAAAUUAAUAAGCUCCCUAAAUAGAGUUGACAGUUAAAAUUCAUGCAGUAAAAUGUCAAUUUAGAUAAAAAAAUAAUUUUUAGUAUGUUAUGUACAUUAUUUGAGUCAUACUUAAAUAUAAUUUAACUGAAAUUCAAAUUUUUAUUUGUAUUUUCAUUUGCUUAAUCUGGCAACUCUAGUCCUGUGGUGUGGUAAAUUGAGGGUGUAUUAGUCAGGGUUCAAGGGGUUUACUCUGUAAAGGAACAGAAUCAACAGAAAGUAUGAUUAUAAAAAGGGAGAUUUUAUUAGAUUGGCUUACAUGACCAGAAGCUAGAGAGCCCAUAAAGGCUGUCUGCAGGCUGGAGAGCUGGAGGAACUAGUAGCUGUAUAGGUCAAGAGGCUGAAGCCUCAGAACAAGAGGGAUCAAUGGUACUACCCCAGUCGGAGACCGAAGGCUUCUGGAAACUCCCUUGAGAAUCACUGGCAGAGUCCACUUUGGAAGAGUGAAGGAGGCAGAGUCUGAUAGCCUCAGAAUAUCACCAGCAGCAAUCAAGAACUUUCAGGAAGAAUCGAGCUUCCAUCUACUGUUGCUUCCUUGUACUUCUGACUUUUAUUGCAUCCUCUUGGAUGGUGUUGCUCACACUUAGGUAGGGUCUCCACUUCAGUUUGAUAUCUCACAUGCCAGUCAUUCCUAGACACACCCAGAAGCCUCUUAACCUUCUACAUCUCUUAAUCCAAUUCAAAUUAACCAUUUGACAUUUGGAUUUGACAAUUCAAAUUAACCAUUACAGAAGGAAACUACCCAAUUGUGUGCAGACCAAAACCACUCUCUGAAAUUUGAAAUGCUCACUGGCAUUUAAUGUCUCUAAAUCUUGCAAAAAAACCCCAAACCUUUUUUUAAAAUUAAAAAUGUUAAUCGUUUAUCUGAAAGUUUAAUUUCACUAGGCAUCUAUGUUUUGUCUGGCAACCCUACACAGGACCCCCUUUUUUGAGGACUACUUCAAGGGGUUUACUGGAUUUUAAAGUGAUUAUAACUCCUGAGGAGGUGCAACUAGAUAUGCAAAAGGGGGGAGAAGAGAGGUGCAAACUCCCCCAGCAGAAAGCCAAAGGGGAGCCGUGUGCAAAGAAAGGCUGGUGAGUUGGUACAUUUUGCUGGUGGCCACUGUCUCUAUGGUGGUGCGCCACACUGGAGUGGUCCUAUCCAGAGCUGGUAUUGGAGGAGCACUUGUCAGCCAGUUGCAGAAGCAUGUAGCGUGGGCAUAUCCCAAACACACUUCUACUAGGAAGUUGACCUUUGUGGGCAAGAAGCAUCAGCCUCCAGAUGUGCAAGACUUUUUGGAAUAUUCUGGAAUCAACUAGUGGGAGCAAUUGUUUCUUUUUCCCUGUCCUUAUUUGCCUCUUCCAUCCCUCUCACUCUUCCUCCUCUUUCUCUCUUUCUUCUUCCUUUAAAAAAAUUAUUAUCAAUUUAUAAAGAAUAGACAUUUAUUUGGCUUACAGUUCUGGAAGCUGGGAGUCCAAAAUAUAGGCCCUGGCACCUGCUGAGGACCUCACUGCAUCAAAACAUGGCCCUGGCACCAUAACGUGAGACAGAGCAAGUGACUGUAAUUAUUUUUUAAAUAACAGAUUUAUUGAGAUAUGACUCACAUGGUACAAAAUUCACUCUUUUAAAGGUUACAGUUCACUAGUUUUUAGUAGAAUCAUAAGGUGGAACUACUGUUAUCACUAAUUGUAGAGCAUUUAAGCACCCACCCAAGAAACCAUAUCUAUCAGCAAUCACUCUCAUUUUCUCCUUCCACUAGCCCUGGGUGACUACUAACCUACUUUCUAUCUCUGGAUUUAUCUUGUCUGGAUAUUUCAUGUGAAUUGAAUGCUACAAUAUGGGACCUCUCAUGUCUGCCUUCUUUCAAUUAGCAUCAUGUUUUCAAGAUUCACCUAUGGUGUAACCUGCAUGCACUGUAUCCUUUUAGGGCUGAAUCAAAGUUAUAGACAUCAUAUUUUGUUUGUCCACUCAUCAAAGCAUUUGAUGAGCAUUUGAGUCGCUCCCCCUUUGUCUAUUAUGAAUACCACUAUGAAUAUUUGUUUAUUGUUUUUUUUUGUGUGUGUUCAUGUUGUUAAUUCUUGCUUUUGGAGAAAACCUAUGUUUACUUGGAAUUAAAUCUAUGUUAAACUUUUUGAGGGUCCACCAAGCUGUUUUCUGAGUGACUGUCCCAUUCUACAUUCCUAUGAGCAAUGCCUGGGAGUUCUGAUUUCUUCACAUGUUUAUCAUACUACCUUUUGUCUUUCUUUUUAAUUUUAGUCCUCCUUCUGGGUAUGAAGUAGAAUCUCAUUGUGAUUUUGAUUUGUACUUCCCUGAUGACUAAGGAUGUAGAUUAUCUUUUCCUGGGCUUAUUAUGGUCAUUCUCUUUGGAGAAAUAUUCACUCAAAUCUUUUGCCCAUUUUUAAAUUGGGUUGUCUUUUUAGUGUUGAGUUGUAAGAAUUCCUUAUAGAUUCUGGACAUAAAACCUUUGUUACAAUACAUGAUUUGCAAAUAUUUCUCCCAUUUUGUUGAUUAUUGUUUAAUUUUCUUGAUGAUAUCUUUAAAAUAAUUUUAAAAACUUUACAUUUUAAUUUAUCUAGCCUCAGUUUCUCUAUUUCACUUCAUUAUUUGGAAAUUGGCUUAACCCCCUAAAAAUAUUUACAAUAUUUAGAAUAUUUUUUUUCCUUGAAAUCAAGGGGUAUGAAGAUCCUCAUGUUUAACAUUACAAUUUUAUAUUUCUCAAAUUAAAAAGAAAUACCAGGUGGUUUACUAAUUGAAGUAAUAAAAAUAUAGCUUUGCAAAAUCUGUAGUUUGUGGAGGAAACUAAAGAUAUUAUGAUCUACCUGAGAUACACCCUCCAGAAGACAGGGUGUGAAAUGGAAUUUGUGCUAUCAAAAGCAGUCAUAAGUGCCAAUAUAGUGAUUAAUUUUUCAAUAGAAGAACUUUGCUGUUCCCAUCUCAGAAGAUGCAGGGAAAAUCUGUAUUUUUCAUUAUUUGUUCAUAUUCAGGACUAAUACAUUAUUCUUGUUGAUUGAUGUGUGGCAAUUUGUGUACAUGUGUAUAUAAACUAGUUUCCCAUCCUGCAACAUGAAAUAAUAUAUUUUGGGUUGGCAUAUAUAAGCUUCCAUCAUUGGGGGAGAAGAUUCUUCCUGUUCUUAGGGCUAAGUUGUAAACUUUGACUUAAAUAGAAGUUUAACUUCUAAGUGUUUGAACUCUCAUUUUGAAAGAUGAUGGGCCAUACUUUGUGAUCUUUCUUAAUUCUCAUUGGGUUCAGACAGAAAGGAACGAAUCAAGGGGAGGUUUAGCUGAAUGCUUCUUGGCUGCAUGUUGGUUCUUCUCUGGGAAAAGCGAGAGGCAAAGUAGGACUAGCUCAAGCCAGAUUGAGGCUGAAGGAGUCCCCUACUAGGCACCAGCAGUCUGGGUAUACACAGAUGUGUGACUACUUUUUAUGUUCUACUUUACUCUUAGGUAUACCCUUCUUUGAUGUAAGUUAAGAUUCUGCUACUAAACUACCAUGUGGCUUUAAUCAAUGUCUUUCACCCUCUAGGCAAGUGUCAGGAAAGAUCACCUCUCAGGUCUCUUUUGUCUCAUAUUUUUCAAUUUCCAUAACAGGGUGUGUGUAGGGAAUAUGUCUAAAUGAUAUUCUCUCAGCAGUUGGUGAGAGAAUGUGGUGGUUUGGACAAGUUCUAAUGACUGUCUGUAGGUGAACCCCACAAUGCUCUGUUCUCCCCCUUGCUCAGUUAGUGCCAUGAGGGCUGCAUUUGUAGGAUAAAAGCUUGUGUUACAAGCUCCAGAGAUGGAAUGCUUAGGGAAGGGAGGCCCAUCCUGAGCCAUGUUGACAAAAUGUCUGGAAACCCUGGGGUUUUUCUGGUUGUGAGAAAUAGAAUCUGACUCUGGUUUACUCAGAUGUAAAUGGGACUUAUCAGAAGAACAUAGGAGAAUGCAAGAAUUUGGGAGGAUGAGCAGCACCAGGGAGCUCCAACAGCUGGAGAUGUUCUGGAAAAUGGUCCAGGCACCUACCACUAUGGAACAAAUGGAUUCCAAAGAGAGGUUUUCUUUUGGAAUUCUUCUGCUGUUCACAAUUCAAAAUGCAGAGAGGAAGUGUGGCAGUCAGGAGUUAGUAUUAUUGACCAAAUGUUGUUUUCUACUGCCAUGGGUGAUUUUAAGAGUAUGUACUUCCUUUUAUUUGUUGUGGUACUGGUAUUGAUCUCAGGGGUGCUUAGCUACUGAACAAAAUCCCCUGCCCUUUUAUAUAUUUUGUUUAAAGACAGGGUCUCUCUGAGCUGCUCAGGUUCUUGCUUUGAACUCGAGAUCCUCCUGCCUCAGCCUCCUGAGCUGCUGGGAUUACAGGCGUCCACCACGACACCUGGCUUGUGCUUCAUGAUCUUUUGUGUUUGAUUGGUACUCUCUAUAUUGUUCUGUCCAGUGAAUUUACAGCAGAAAUGACCUGUGAACACUGGGGGCAUUCAUGCUGAGCUAAGACCCUGCAGAGUUUUCUUUCUGUUGCCUUGGCCCUCAUGAGAACAUGUAUUAAAAUGCAACCUGCAUCAAACUGGACUAAGAGACUACAAUUAACAAAGCCCCAUUUUAACUCAGGAUGGAUAUGUGAUAUGAGAAAGAAAUAAACUGUUACUUUAAACCACUGAGAAUUGGGAGUUGCUUAUAUUAUCAAACCAAAUAAGACAGAUACAGGAGGCCACUCACUGCCUGGUUUGGGUCAUAUGUUCACCCCUAGAGGAGAGCAGAAUGUCUAUAGUCCCACUAAGCUCUAUGCAAUGGAAGGCAUUUAAUUAUGUCGUAAAAAAUGGAUGUUCGCUGGGCACAGUGGCACACACCUGUAAUCCCAGUGACUUGGGAGGCUAAGGCAGGAAGAUUACAAAUUCAAAGCCAGGCUCAGCAACUUAGUGAGGCCCUGUCUCAAAGUAAAUAAAUAACAAAAUGAAAAGGGCUGGGGAUAUAGGUCAGUGGUUAAGUGCUCUGGGUUCAAUCCCUGGAACAGCAACAACAACAACAACAAAAACCCCCAGAUAUACUAUUACCAAAAGAACAAAGAAUGUAUACUUCACAACCGAAAGACAGAUGUUCACAGGAUCUAUCCAGAAACCCGGCCCAUGAUCUUGACCUCACAAAUAUCUGAUUUGCUUAAACAGAUGAGCUUCUCUAAUCAGCUCACUUCUAAAAUAAUAGGCACAUGACCCCCUACUCCACAACGAUUUCAACACCAAACACAGACCGGCUUCUGAUUUCUGGUUUUUGUAAAAAAGCUCAACCUGCCUCUAGGGAUGCUGAGAAGGACUCAUUUGUCACCUACUGUAUUUAAUUUAGUUUAAAACCACAAAAUCUUUCCUGAAAAAGUUCAAAAUUCACAGAUUAUAUUAAAUAUUAAAAUACACUUUAUUGCAUAGCAUUAGCAGCCUGUAUUAAAAUACUCAAUAAAUCAUGUUGUGUUUGUGCCAUGGUUAUAACAUGAAUAAUACAUUGAGAAAGUUUUGUGCAUUUAAUGGGAUGAAAAAAAUCUUAUGGCAUUUCUAGACUUUGCUUCUCUCCACUCUGGCAGGUUGGUGCAUUUUGUCAUCAUCUGACACAUUUAACCAUCAUUUGAAUCACCAUGCUACCUCCAACUAUACUGCUGGGUAAUUAAAAAGAACAAGAACAAGUAUAUAUAAUAAAUUCACAAGGCUUGCUAAUUAUGUGCAUAUUGUACUAUAUUAAUACUGCUAAUAAUUCAAAGGACAACUAACAUAAAAAAAUCAUCUAAUUUGCCAUACUCUCUCAGACCCACAUUUUAUAACAUCGCCAUAGGGAGGGAUAUGGAUUAAGUUAUUUUUCUUGCUUUAAUCUGCAAAAGCCACUGGAGAGCAGAAAAAAGCAAUAGGUCUUCACAUUGUUUAGAUGUCAGGCAUCUCAAUAUUCUGUGGUGCUGUUUCUGUGAAUGGGGAGAAACAGAUGACCAAUAGAGAAGAUGGGGUUUAUUUAUUGCACAAGGAUGGAAAUUUUGUGCUGGUUUAGAUUCUGCAGAAGGGUGGCUCGUUGAUGAGGUGACUAGAUUAGUCCAUAUGUUCAAGGUUACUUCUUGUAGUAAUGUUGGUAAUAGGAAACAUCUGGAAACAACCUCCAAGUCCAUCAGUAGGGAGCAGAUUGAAUAAGUUGUGAACAGACAUGCAAUGGAAUCUUCUUUUGCUGUAUCUAAAAGAAAGAGGGAAAUACUUCAUCAUAUAUAUAUCUCCCACAUCUCCAUCCCCCCCUUUUUUUUCAAAUUUAAUUUUGAAAAGGAAUCUCUCUAAGUUACUUAGGGCUUCACUAAAUUUCUGAGGCUGGCUUUGAACUUGUGAUUCUCCUGCCUCAGCCUCCUAACAUCAUGCCCAGCAACUUGUGUGUUUUCUGUAAUUGUGGAAAGGGAUGCAGCAAGCUACCAUUUGAGUGAAAGAUGAAGGAAAGACUGCAUUGCUUUUUUUAUGUAUGUAAAUUUAAAAAUCUCUAGAAGGAUACAGGAAAAACUAGUAACUAUAUAUUUAUUUUCUAGGGAAGCAGGUCCUGAGUGGUGGUAGAAAGGAUGGGAGAAAGAAAAUACUCUGAAUAACUUUAAAUAAUUUUAUAACUUUUACUAUUUUAUCUUAUAUAUUUUUUCAUAUUGAUAGGAUUUGUAGUUGCAUAUUUGUAUAUGCACACAAUAUAACAAUUUAAGUUGGCCGACAUCACUCCCUAGCAUUUCUCCUCUCCCUCCUGCCUCCCACCCUUUGGUCCCUUUUCUCUGCUGAUCUCCCUUUGAUUUUUAAGGAGAUACACCCCCACCUUUGUUUUCCUCUCUAGCUUCUGCAAAUGACAGGACCCUUAACCUUUGGAGUUUGACUUAUUUUGCUUAACAUGAUGUUAUCUGGUCUCAUCCAUUUUCCUGAAAAUGCAUCAAUUUAUUGAGCUUUCAAUCAGGUGAACAUAUUACUUAGUCAAUAACUGAAUAAUCUGACAUGAAUCCCACCCCCAAAUGUUGGGCAAGAUGACCAGAGAUUUUCAGAAAAGUGAAGUCUCUCUCCCAGUCCUGGGGGAACAUGUAGGGCUCUUGGCUACAGUAGAACACAAAGUGACUGGGCCAGAGAGGAACACAAGCCAUUCUGGAGUGAGGGACAUUCACAGGGAGCAGGAAUUUAUUGUAUUUCUUCUGAGAGAGAGAGAGAGAGAGAGAGAGAGAGAGAGAGAGAGAGAGAGAGAGAGAGAUCUCAUCAUUCCAUUUUGCGUUAACUAUUUCUAAAAAUUAGUCUUAGAAAUACUCAAGUAAAAUGAUUAUGAAGAGAACAGGCCCCAACAUAUUGGUCAGAUGGGUAUUAGGACAUGGGUAAAGAAAUGGGUCGAGAAAAAAAGGGUGUGCAGGUCCCUCUCAAGGACAGCUGCUGUCAGUGCCCUGCUGGUAACGCUCAGGAAAUGCCAUAGCUGGGGGUUUCUGAGUAUCACUGUUGCCUAGGGAGAGAUGGCAGUCUGGAUUUCUAUGUGGAAUAUCCUGAAUUUCAUGGAAAUAUGCUCACUAGCUUUGUCUUGUUCCACAAGCAAACCUCAAAGUGAAUGUGACUUGAAUCUGUUUCUUAAAAUGUGCACAACAUAGGUGCAAGGACAUGAGUGUGUGUGUGUUCGUGUGUGUUUGUAUGUGUGUCACUGGAGAUUCAACCCAUGGCCCCACACAUGUUAGGCAAGAGCUUGACCACUGAGCUCCAUCCCCAGCCCUUUUAAUUUUGUUUUGAGACAGGUUAUCUAGGCUGGCCUUGAACCUGUGAUCAUCCUUGCCUCAUUCUCCCGAGUAGCUGGGAUUACAGAUGUGUGACACAUGCCCAGUGAAAGUAGCUUUCUUAAAAUGUGGAAAUUGGAAAGAAUUUGCCUGUUCUUCAACAAGGAACUCUUACUGUAAGAUCCAGAAUAUCCCAUUAGGAGAUCAUGAUCAUCCUAGAGAUAGGCUAGCCUGUAUCAAGGGAAACAUUAAGCUGAAGAGCAAUAAAUUUGUUAUGACCCCUUUUUUUGUAAAAGCAAGAAAAGCAUGUAUAUGUACUCACAAAUUUUAAUCAUACACAUGGCUACAUAUAUCAUAUAUACAUUUUAUAUGCUAUAUAUAUUUUUACAAAUUCUCUAAAGAAACUUUAUGUGCUUACAUCCUCUUAAAGAAAAUCAGACUUGGUCUAACAUGCUUUUAACAUAUUUGAACUUUGUGGAAUACCCCUCCCUUUCUUCCUUGUUUUAGUUCCGUCUUUUGUUAAUUUAGGGAAAACAGAUGUUUUAAUCAGUAGGUGAUAAAUAAAAAAAUUACUUUGACUAUUAUUUUUACCUUCCUCUACUUUCUUCUGGAUUCAUGUUUCUGUAGGCUGGGGUAUAUUGGUUAGCAGAUUUUAUUGGUUUCAUUUGUUUUUAGCAAUAGUACUUGAGUAGUAAACUUUUUUAUGUCGGAAGAGUUUAGUUGGUCAAAGAAUUCAAAUUUGAUUUUAGAUUUUCUCUUGGUUCUCUGAAAUACUAUCGCUUUGUUUGUGGUGAUUAUUCCUGAUGAAUCAGAAUUCGUGCUAUUCACCCAGUCAAUGGUCAAUCUGUGGUUAAUUGUUCCCCUUCACGUGGCUUCUGGCUUUCACUGUGAGGUGUUGGGUUGGCUUCAUUCUCAUUCAAUACUGCCUUAGUGUUUCUUCAGGAUGCAUUAUCAGACUGAAGACCCAAAUCUUCAAUUUUGGAAAUUUCUCUUCAGUUGAAUAUUGUUCAAUUCAAAACCAUCCAUUUUUGCCUUUUUAUGUGUAAUUCGGAGACUCGCACACAUGUGCACACACACACGUACACAUAAAGACAAAUGUACACACACAUUUAAAUCAUAUACUAAUGAUAUCACUUUUGCAAGGUCUAAAACCAUGCAGACAUUGUAUGGGGAGUGAAAACUUUUGUAGGAGGAAUAUGCAUGGAUUUCAACUGUAUUUAGAAAGAUGAUUUCCUUAAAAAAACUGUUCUGAAGUAAAGAAGAAAAGUAGGGGGAAAUUUAAAUCAUGGCUUUUCAUUUUUGGUGUUUCUGAUGCUUUGACAGUUUGGGGCCUUGCAGACCCUGGAGGGACUGCUCCUCCUAGGGCUGGACAUUCCCUGGAGAUGGUGAACAAUUCACCUGCAGAGUACUCUUUGCACAUACGGACUGACCAAUCCUUAUCCCACAUUGCAGCCACCUCCUUUUGCUGCAGUCCGGCUGCAGCAAAAUAACCGGGGGAUGACGAGCAACUUGUGUACAUUGAUACAGCAGGAGUGGGAGCCGUUUAUUGUAGGACAGGAGGGGUAUAUAUACAUUCCACACAGCUUAUCUUAAUUAACAUAAACUAGAUACAGCAGUCAACCAAUAAGGAAUCUCCACACUUAAUGGCUCGCUGGCGUUACUUCACAAACCACUCCCUCUGGCAAAAUGCCAGGCGCCAUCUUGACUUGUUUACAGACCCUAACAUCCUUUAUUGGUCUGUCACUUCUCUUGCAGCAAUUCUAGCCAUUAGUCACUCCAGCCACUCCAGACCAGGCACCAGUCAACCAGAGAUACCCCUGUACCCCAGAGUCUGCUAAGAUUCUUCAAACAAGUCAAUCUGCAUCCUGCUUACCCUGCUGUGCCUAUUCCUUCCUACAGAAACCAUAAUAAAGGCCCUCGUCCCGCUUUGCCCUUGCUCUCUCUGACUCCUGGCCAACACAGGCACAUCCCUAUGUGGCCCUGCAUGGCACGAUAUAUCCUUUCUUGGGAACUGUGAGUGACAAGCUAUCUUUCUAAUGGCAAUUAUCUCCUGAUCUCAUCAGAUGUAAAUAAUGGUAAAAUCUACAUUUUAAAACAAAGGAAGGAAGAAAAAAGGUGGGAGUAGAAAGGAAAAAAAGGGAGGGAGAAAGGAAGGAAGGAAAGACAGAGGAAGAGGAAAUGCAUGGAGGGGAUGAGUUGGACAAGCCAAUGAGAAAGUCACUGGAGUAUUCCAGUGAGAGGACUUGUGUCCAGUAAGCUGGACUUGUGUGAUGGCAGGGAAAAGAAGAAGUGUCAGAACCUGAGGCAUUUUGAAAGAAGGAGACCAAGGAUGGCUCCUAAGUGUCAGGCUUGAUGGGAAUGGGUCACAGGUGGUACCACUUCCCAAAAGGUUUGGGGCUCCUGGCUUAGUAACCACUUGUUCCUCAAGUGACAUAAUUAGCACAGUAAGGAUGAUCAUAGAAGCUACUUCCUAAGGUAGGAAGGGGCAAUAAAAUAUGUAUGAAAGUGCCUGGUAUGUGGUGAGAACUCAGUUAGCAUUAGCCUUGAUGAAAACAGCUGCAGCAUGACCCAGAAGAUGUGGGAUUGGAGGGGAGGAUGGCUGGAGAGUUAGGUGAGAGUUAGAUGAGAGCUGACCGUGGAGGGCCUGUAAGCCAGGCAAGCUGUGGUGGUCUUAUCAAGGGAGAGGCCCAGUAGAUGUGCAUUUAAAAACCCCACUGUGGCUGCCAUAUGCAGAAUAGGUUGAAGGAGAAAGAGAAUAUGGGAAGACCAGCUCAGUGACAAUAGCAGAUUUCCUGCUGGACUACAGAUGGCUUCAGAGGAAGAUAUAACUGGUUAGAGAGGUAGGAGUUAUAAAAUACAGUUCACAACCACAGACAUGAAAUAAUAUUACAAUUCUUAAUUUUCUUUUAGUCCACUGAAACUUCACCCCAAAAGUUCCACUUCCACCUUCUUGCUGGGGGAAAAGGCAACCUCAAAUAUUAACUUUGUCCUCCUUAUUUCCCACUUAUUCUGCAGAAUUAUGCAGAAGUCCUUGGAUCUCAUGUGGCAUCAAGGCUCCAGAGUUCACCAUGGUUACCUCUAUGAUGCAUUUUCUUGACUUAUGAGGUCCCUUCAUGCCUGGAGUCUAUCUAUGUCACUAUUUAAAAAAGGAAACAGGUAGGGCAGGGAGGUCCAGGGUCCAGUCUUUCUCCCAAAUUACCUCUGGGGACCAGGGUCUCCAACCUCUAUCCAACCUGAGAGAAGCUCUCCUUCUCUCCUCAAGGGGAAGCAAAAAGUGGUAGAUUAGUGAGGUACGAUACCAAGUGAGGGGCAUUUGCUAAAGGCAAACACUCUGUCAUCAGAUGGUGCAGGUACUACUGGAUAAGGCAUUCACAGGGUCUCUUAUCAUAGCAUGAUGGGCAUACAGCCACCAGGGCACAGCUGGCUUGUGCUCUGGAGUAGCAGUGUGCUCUUCCUUCUCCCCGAGCUACUCUACCUUUAAUAGAGAGCAAUAGGAGAUUUUGCAAAUGCAAGUGGGGAAAGCAAUCUGAGCUCAUCGAAGCUUGCAUGCUGGCUGUUCAGGGGUACUGUGCACUAGCACUGGGAAUACUCAUUGCCCAAGGGAGCCACAUCCUAGCAAGAGUAGAGGCCUUCAGGGACAACCAGCUUUAUCUCACAUUUGACAGACAGCACCAACGCAGCUAGCAUUCAUUGUGCAUAUAACUCUGAGUCAGUCUCCAUGGUAAGCAUGUUACAUACUCGACCUUAUUGAAUUCUCUCAACCACCUAGGAGGUAUAAGCUAUUAUCAUCAUCCUUGAGAUAAAUAUGAAAGAGAGGCAGAGAAAGGUCCAGUAACUUGACUGAGAUCUGAUUCCAGAGACUGCUCCUAGCUGCUCCCUUCCUGCCUCACAGACAAUUCAAUAUGACAUUACCCUACCCAACCUACCCAUAGGGCCUGGGGUUGUCAGGGUCUGGAAGUGUUCUUUGGUCCUCAGGGAGCAGGGAAGGUGCAGGUCUUCAGGUGUCCUUUGGGUCACUUUUUGAGAGUGAUAAUAAACUAAGAUGUUUCUUUCUUCCUUUCCCCUACUUAUCCCUUCCUCUGACCUUGAUCUUUCUUUCCUUCUCCUUCCUCCUCAUCUUCAUUAAGGUUCCAAGCAGAGUAAGAAAACACCAUGAUGUUGCUGUGCUUUCUUUCAUCUCCCAAUCCUGGGUCUGAAUAAAAACUUUGUGCUGAUUAAAGAAGACCCCUUCUGCCCUAGAUCAUCUCCCAUCCUCUCCAUUGCUAAAAUUCUGCAAAGGAGAGGCUCAACUCUAGUCAAUGGUCUUCUUGUUCAAGUUUCUGGCUGAUCAGAGUGAUGUAGUCUUCAUUUUGGUUGCUAAUUUUGCUAAACAAACAGCAACAAAAAACUAAGCAAACUUGCCAAUGCAGGGCAUCCAACCCAGUCAGGCAUUAAAUUUUAGUAAUUUAGUAACAGCAGCCCCUUGGCUAUGUCUUUGCUGUUCUGAGGCCUCUGUUUGUGCUCAAGUUCUAUAAUUGGACCAUAUUGAGGGGAUUGAAUGGGCAAAGCCAAUAGCUGUAGCUGUGGAGAUUGGCUGUGGGGUGGGAUUGGAUGCAGCAGAUCUACUUGGGAGUGUUCUCUGCAGGGAGGCUGUUGUAUCUUAUGUUACCUACCCAUUAAGCCAUUGCAUCACCAUGACCAACAUGACACCAGAGCCCACUUCUUGAGCUGCCAAUUUCUCAAAUGAUUCUUUUAUUUGCAGAUCAUAUUUCUCUUUGGAGCAAGAUGAAAACGUUUCUACUUUUGUAGAGUGAAGAGUGGCUACUUGGAUUUCCUGCUCAACUCCAUGGGUUUGGCUUAUCUCCUCCUCCACCUUGAUGGAAGGUGGUCACCUCUGAGGACUGAGGGAAGAGGACAAAUUGUGAUGACUACUGCAGUAGGAGUCCAGAGGCCAUUGUGCAGCUUCUCCAACCUGGCUCUGGGCAAGUGACAUGCAUCUUUGAUGUACUAAUAUUGACACUUGCCUGGCUGUACUAUGACUCCAGUUAAAUAAGGAGCAAGAAACUCAGAGCCUGCAGUAGCCAGACAAGAAGCAUAAAUAUUCAUAGACAGAUAUGAGUUAGAAUACAGAUGCUCAACAGCUUAUAUUGUAAGACUCACAAGCUGUACCUGGUAAUUGUCUUUUAAGACGCUGCAUGAGCAAAUAAAAUGAUUAAAUAAACACUCCAAGGUGGAUAGGGCCAGAGGUCAUAAGGUUGUGUGACCCAUGAAAAUAACACUUUAUUCCUAUUUAGAAUUGCUUAUCAUUCUUAGAGGGCCCAAAGCCUCUGAUGUCACUCACCACUGGAAAUACCUGUGUGAAUAAUAGUAAGGGAAAAUAAAGUUGAGAGCCGUGUUGGGUGGUCCUUGCACUCCCACUGGAGCAUGUUAUGCAGAAGGGUGACUCAGCCUAGCAGACACAUCUGAUUGAUGUACUACAUCCUAGUCGAUGGACAGGAGGACCUCGCCCAGGAAGGCAGCUGAGCCUCUGGUGAGCCUCCAGCCUGCGGCAGCUUUGCCCAGAGGGCAGCUUUCACUGAUGAAGCUAUUCAUUAAUACGUGUUCGUCAGCGUCCCCAGACAGCUCGCAGCCAUUUGUUUGCUUGUCAAGCUGGGUGUUGCUCUCUGCUGGGCUGCAAGAAGCUGACAUUAAUAUUUUUAUCAGCCUGACUUUGGGAGGUCAGAUGGGAUUAUUACAGAUGACAUCUCCCUGAUCUUAGCAAAUAAAAUUGAUUAAAAUGUGCUGAAUCAGAAACUCUGGCUGAACAGUUAAAAGCUACAAUACAUUAUGGUCUGAGAUCAUGUCCGAUUGCCUCAAAUGGGGACCAUUGUCUCAGAUCGGAAGACUCAAGAACUAUGGUAAUUCAAGAGAAUAGAGGAAGGUUCUUGGGGAGGGUGUUAUAAAGGGUUUAAUGGUGGUCUUUCACAUCAGGGAUUGCCCUCUUAUCAAGUGUUGGCUCCAUGAAUGUGACUGAAUGCAUUCUCUUGUUUUUGAAUCUUUAAAAAGUAGUACCUUUUGUGUACACAAAUGUAUAUAACAUAUGUGAGAUGGUUCAUUUUUAUGUGCCAACUUGACCGGCCCAUGGAGUGCCCAGAUAUUUGGUUAAGCAUUAUUUCUGUGUGUUUCUAUGGGAGUGUCUCUGGAUGAGAUUAACACCUGAAUCAGUAGACCAAAGCAAGCAGAUUGUCUCCUCCAAGGGGGUGGGUCUCACCUAAUCUGUUGAAAACAAAA
rnacentral:lncRNA from 1 species